AACGGGUGGAGCUUGCGGUUUUAAUUGGAUUCAACGCCGGAAAUCUUACCGGGACCGACAGCAAUAUGAAGGCCAGGCUGAAGACUUUGCCGGAUUAGCUGAGAGGUGGUGCACGGCCGUCGUCAGUUCGUACUGUGAAGCAUCCUGUUAAGUCAGGCAACGAGCGAGACCCACGCCCACAGUUGCCAGCGUACUCUCUGGAGUGACGGGUACACUGUGGGACCGCCGCUGCUAAAGCGGAGGAAGGAAUGGGCAACGGUAGGUCAGUAUGCCCCGAAUAUCCCGGGCUACACGCGAGCUACAAUGGUUGGUACAAUGGGUAUCUACCCCGAAAGGGGACGGGAAUCUCCUAAAACCAAUCUUAGUUCGGAUUGAGGGCUGCAACUCGCCCUCAUGAAGCUGGAAUCCGUAGUAAUCGCGUUUCAACAGAACGCGGUGAAUACGUCCCUGCUCCUU
rnacentral:rRNA from 1 species